rnacentral:lncRNA from 1 species
AAAAUAGCAGAUUGUGAUUGUGAAUUUUCAUACCGUUGGAACAACACUAGCAAGUAGCAACACAAGCAAUCACAAGUGCCUUAGUUCCUGCCCUAACCCCUUCUGCAAAACCAAAACCAAAACCAAAAUCAAAAACAAAAACAAAAUUGAUAGAAAUGAAGAAGGGGGGGUUUAGGGAUUUGAGAAUUGAGUAGUAAUAAGUAAUAACCUUGAACAUAGUUUUUGGAAUUAAGAAUUUGUAAAUCUGGAAUCACCCCCAAAGCAUGUUAGCAAAGAGGAGGAGAGAGAUAGAGAGAAGAAGAAGAAGUACAAGGAAGAAGGAAGAAGACACGGUUGAGAGAGAAGGAAGAAAAUGAUAGAUCGAAUAUGAAUCAGUAAAGUUGUAGAAGAUGAAGAACUGGUUAAUGGGUUUUAUAAUGAAAGAGAGAAGAAGAACACAACUAGUUUGAGAGUGAAGAAGUAGAAGACUGGUUUUCUUAGGUUUGAUAGAGAUGAGAAGCAGAGAAAAGAGAUCGAGACAGAGAGAGAGGAGAGAAAAAGGAAAGCGGUUUCCAUAAAAUAAAAAAGGUGUCCGCUUUCCUUAUUUUUGGUCUAGC